rnacentral:tRNA from 1 species
GGUCGCGUGGCCCAAUGGGUAAGUUCAAUCACCAGUGCACCUCGUUGAGGUUACACAAACCACAAGCACAAUACUAACAAAACAUCAGCAAGGCGUCUGACUACGAAUCAGAAGAUUCUGGGUUCGAUCCCCAGCGUGAUCA